AACGAACGCUGGCGGCAGGCUUAACACAUGCAAGUCGAACGCCCCGCAAGGGGAGUGGCAGACGGGUGAGUAACACGUGGGAAUCUACCCAAUUCUUCGGAACAACUGAGGGAAACUUCAGCUAAUACCGAAUGUGCCCUUCGGGGGAAAGAUUUAUCGGAAUUGGAUGAGCCCGCGUUGGAUUAGCUAGUUGGUGGGGU
rnacentral:rRNA from 1 species